GUCAGUGCUACAGGCUUAUGCGUUAUUGCCAUUAAGAUAACCAUAAAUGCCAUAAUAAAGGGGGAAAUCCGCUUCUCUUUUCAGAUAAAGUUUGUAAAAUAUCUAUCUAAUGACAUUUUCUUUUUUCCCAUGUUGCCCAUAAUAAAGGGUGGACUGGCGCAAGGGCCAUGUUGCCAAAGGGUCGUCCCGUCCAAAUGCCAUCCUAGCUUGGGGGCAUCUCGUUCUGAGGGUGUCUUGUGCGAAGCCUGGAAGCACUUGCAUAAUGCCCCCAGUUUGCAGGGCUCUGGGACCUGGCUAGCUCAGUGCUUGGCCCCAGAGGUGCAAACCCCAGG
rnacentral:misc_RNA from 1 species